CUUUGCGGUGUUGGGGGGGGGGCGGGGGAGAAACGGUGUCCCCUGGCCUGUAAGCAGCCCAGACAGCCUUGCCCUCGGCUGGCCCGAUGCGCUCGGCACUCAGAUAUUUUUCUCGCAGACAGAGCUUUUGUUGUCCUCGCCCCUUCUUACUGCCCAGUUUCUGUUCUAGCCUUGUUUCCUCACCAUGCGCCAGCCCGGGCUCCCGUCCUACUAACGGGAGGCAGCACAGGGUGUUUUUCUUCUCCCUCCUCCCUGGUCACCCAGGAAAUGCGGGCGAUUGGCCACCAGCCUCGAGGGAAGAGACCCAGGGCCUUGCUCCCUGAGUUUUAUCCAAGUUUUGUUUUCUCCUCCACCCAUGAGCCUGACUUAAGCGUUUGUGCCAGUGGCAUCCACCUCCACAGAAGCCAGGCCAGGUGCUCCGGGGUUAGGCAAAUGGAGGAAGAGGACUUUGAACUUAGAAGGCCCCUCUGGAUGUCUCUUCCACAUUAUUGCGGAGUACAAAAACCCUGAAACCAGAAGUCCGGGUGUGACGAGGCCCAGAAUCUCUUGGCACCAGCCUUCCAGUUACUCUCCCAGGCUGCGGCACUCCUGUUUCUAGUUAGUCCUGUUCAAGUUCAGUUGAGUACAUGUGUAGAGAGAUGUUUUUCCUCACCUAUAGCUGUAGUUUGAAAAGUAUUAAUACAAGAAGUUGGUGGACAACCUGUUUCCUCACUGGCUGACGUAUAAAAUUCAGUUGUAAAGUAAUACUCCUUUGUUUAGUUCAUGGAGUUGGGCAGAGCGAUGAAGAAGAUUCAAACGCCUUGUCUCCAAAGCACAAUGUAAAAGAAAAGCUUCCGGACUCACUAGCUUGUGUGGUGUGGCUGGAAUGCUCUAGAGUCCAUGGGCUGUGCCUGGCCCUGGGCCAACAUCUGGUCUCCUGUAUGGCCCUGGCCCUGCUUGUGGGAGAGGUGAUUUUUGUCUGCUGAGGACCAUUUCAUGAGGAGUGUCAAGGAUUGGAUCUGGACUCUGCUGGUGUGGAUCAGUUCUGUCAUUUCUCCAGCAGAGGGCGCAUUCAGCAUUCUUCGGGAUUCUGGAAGCUCAAGUGAAGCAAGCCUGAGAAACAGGGCUUGCUUGAGGGGGAGAGAUUCGGUCUUUCAGUUCAAUAAUUAAAGGUCUAUUUUAAAAGCCA